rnacentral:rRNA from 1 species
UACGGAGGGGGCGAGCGUUGUCCGAAGUUACUGGGCGUAAAGCGCGCGUAGGCGGGGUUGGCAAGUUCCGCUGUGAAAGCCCGGUGCUUAACGCCCGGAGGGUCGGUGGAUACUGCCGUCUUGAAGGUGCGAUAGGGAAGGAUGGAAUUGAUCGGUGUACGCGGUGAAAUGACGUAGAUAUCGGAUAGAACACCAGUGGCGAAGGCGGUCUUCUGGAGCACUCUUACGCUGAGGCGCGAAAGCUGGGGGAGCGAACGGGG